GAUUAACGCUGGCGGCGUGCAUAACACAUGCAAGUCGAACGAUGAAACUUAGUAGACUUCUUCGGAAAGACACUAAGCGGAUUAGUGGCGAACGGGUGAGUAACGCGUGAGUAACCUGCCUUACACAAGGGGAUAGCCUUUGGAAACGAAGAAUAAUACCCUAUAAAACUAUAAAAGCACAUGCUAGAAUGGUCAAAGUGCUAGCGGUGUAAGAUGGACUUGCGUCUGAUUAGCUAGUUGGUGAGAUAAAAGCUCACCAAGGCAACGAUCAGUAGCCGGCUUGAGAGAGUGUACGGCCACAUUGGGACUGAGACACGGCCCAGACUCCUACGGGAGGCAGCAGUGGGGAAUUUUGCGCAAUGGGGGAAACCCUGAUGCAGCGACGCCGCGUGAUUUAGAAGGCCUUCGGGUUGUAAAAAUCUUUUGUAUAGGAAGAAAAUGACAGUACUAUACGAAUAAGGUCCGGCUAAUUACGUG
rnacentral:rRNA from 1 species